AUAUUCACUGGCCAACUAACCAGUGUGACGCGUUAUAUUCAUACACUGAUACGUCAAUAGUAACAUUUUUGUGAAUAUAUACAUGUCUUCUAAGUUGAGGAAUUUUUCCUCGGUAGGAAGGAAGUGAGUAAGUGACUGCAUAUAUGCUUACUGCCUGUGAAAAGAAAGAAAAGAAAACCCCCUUACACUUACUGUCAGUCGAGCACAAACAAACUGCAAAACACACAUCAUCGAUCUGCUCUCUUACUUGACAGAAAAAGGAAGAAAAAGAAAAAACUCUGUACUUACUGUUG
rnacentral:lncRNA from 1 species